UACAGAGGGUGCAAGCGUUAAUCGGAAUUACUGGGCGUAAAGCGUGCGCAGACGGUCAUGUAAGUCGGGUGUGAAAGCCCCGGGCUCAACCUGGGAAUUGCAUUCGAGACUGCAUGGCUAGGGUGCGGAAGAGGGAAGCGGAAUUUCCGGUGUAGCGGUGAAAUACGUAGAUAUCGGAAGGAACACCAGUGGCGAAAGCGGCUUCCUGGUCCAGCACCGACGUUCAGGCACGAAAGCGUGGGGAGCAAACAGG
rnacentral:rRNA from 1 species